rnacentral:lncRNA from 1 species
UCGGCCCUCAUCCUACCAAGUAUACGGUGGUGGCGAUGGCGGUCGAAACCUCGAAAUCAUAGAUGGCAACGUGUUGAAAUACGUGCAUAAGCCUUGCUACGCUUCAACUUACCCUCCUUCCUUUGAUCAUCAUCAUCAAAAACAGACUGUUCCUAAGAAGAAAAAGAAGUCAUCGUCUCUUUCAAUCAAGUCAUGGUGGAAUGAUCCAAAGAUGAAAAGGAAGAUGAGACUUACGGGCUAUAAAAUGUACGCCAUUGAAGGGAAGAUCAAAACUUCUUUGAAGAAAGCACAUAAGUGGAUCAAGAAGAAGUAUCGUAGUAUCGUGCAUGGUUACUAAUAUAUGAGAGUGGGAGAUAUAUAUGUUUGAUCAUAA